AUGCCAUAAAAUUAUGAGUAAGGAAAAUAUUGAUUCAGGGUAACCCCAAUAUCCUCACUAGUAAUGAAGACAAAGUUUUGAGCCAGUGAAGGUCAUGCCUAAGGUGAUCCGCUAACUUUUGGGAUGCCUGAGAGUUGCAAUUUGCCCA